GAGAGACCGGGGAUUUACCUCCCAGGCACGGUCACGCUGGGCCAGGAGCAGCCGCUAUUACAGAAUCUAGGCACGUACUCUCCCCAUCCUCCUUCUUCCUGGAGUCAUUCAGAAGAGAAGUUGGGGCUCUGAAGGGCAG
ensembl:misc_RNA